rnacentral:lncRNA from 1 species
AACACACUCCAUUACCAAUAUUUAUUUUGCAUUUAUCCGUUCACUGUUCAUCAAUUCAUAUAGAUAUUUGAUCUCCUCUUCCCCCCCCCCCUCCUUCAGCUUUCAUCCUGGCUGUUUCCUGCAUCAUGUUCGUGGCACGCAUGGCCCUGGUCACAUGGAAGCAUCACAAGCGGCCGCUUUAUAGUGGACACAGUUUGUCACCAGUGGAAAUAGCUUUGAAGCAAAGGAAACUCUUUCUCUGAAUAUUAGCUUAGAGUGUAUAACAAUAAAUACUAUUCAUGUGUUAAUUCUUACAUUAAUACAUUACACACCUCCUCUAAAAAUAUGAAUCUACAUCUACAACAAAUAAAUGGAAGGAAAAAAGAAGCCAAGAAUGUUUUGUUUUUUAAAGAUUUACCUUUGUCAACUCUUCCCCCCCGUUUCCAGUCUUUAUGCUAAGCUAUGCUAACUGGCCACGACCAAUACAUCGACAUUUGUUAAGAUGUGAUCAACAAAGUACACGUUUUAGGCUUUCUUUGGCGGCAAAAAAAUAUAUAUUUAAACCACAAAUGAAUCAGUUAGUCCAUAAAAUGUCAAACAAAAUGUGUGGAAAUGCAGUCCCAUCUUAAAACUGACCCAACCGAAAGUAUAAGAUCCAAAUCAUGUAAAAACGGAGAAAAGCAGAAUUUGAGAAACUGCCAUGUUUGUCUAAUGACUUAUCGAUAAGACCCUAAUUGUUUCAGCAUAAUCGCACACGUAAUCAAAGAGAUACUAUAAAAUGGAACAGUACAUGCAGCAAUCCAAAGUCCAAGAUGUUAGAUUGAGCUGACAAGUAUUGUGCCUCACAGUUUGAGCCGUCGACUCUAUGGAGAGGUUCCAGAUGUCUUCCUUCUCAGUGAAAAAGAUUGACCAUGUAGUGAUCCAUGCUGGGAGCGUUCUCCUGGCUGUCAUUGCUCAGGCAAUCGCAGAUGUCUUCUGUCACCUGGCAAAGGACAGCAACGUACCCAAUGGUCUGUUUAAGACCUCCUCCAGGAAUGUGUCUGAGACCUUCCCAUUGGAGGUGACAAUGGACUGGUGGUCUGAGACAUACUGGAUUAUAGUGGACUUGUGGUCUGUGGCUUGGC